AUUGAACGCUGGCGGCAGGCCUAACACAUGCAAGUCGAGCGGAUGACGGGAGCUUGCUCCUUGAUUCAGCGGCGGACGGGUGAGUAAUGCCUAGGAAUCUGCCUGGUAGUGGGGGACAACGUUUCGAAAGGAACGCUAAUCCCGCAUACGUCCUACGGGAGAAAGCAGGGGACCUUCGGGCCUUGCGCUAUCAGAUGAGCCUAGGGCGGAUUAGCUAGUUGGUGGGGUAAUGGCUCACCAAGGCGACGAUCCGUAACUGGUCUGAGAGGAUGAUCAGUCACACUGGAACUGAGACACGGUCCAGACUCCUACGGGAGGCAGCAGUGGGGAAUAUUGGACAAUGGGCGAAAGCCUGAUCCAGCCAUGCCGCGUGUGUGAAGAAGGUCUUCGGAUUGUAAAGCACUUUAAGUUGGGAGGAAGGGCAGUAAGCUAAUAUCUUGCUGUCUUGACGUUACCGACAGAAUAAGCACCGGCUAACUCUGUGCCAGCCGCCGCCGUAA
rnacentral:rRNA from 1 species